rnacentral:rRNA from 1 species
GAUGAACGCUAGCGGGAGGCUUAACACAUGCAAGUCGAGGGGCAGCAUAGGGUAGCAAUACUCUGAUGGCGACCGGCAAACGGGUGAGUAACGCGUAUGCAACCUACCCUGUACAGGGGGAUAACCCGGAGAAAUUCGGACUAAUAUCCCGUAAUAAUAUCCGGAGGCAUCUUUGGAUAUUUAAAGUUCCGACGGUACGGGAUGGGCAUGCGUAACAUUAGCUGGUUGGUAAGGUAACGGCUUACCAAGGCUAUGAUGUUUAGGGGUCCUGAGAGGGUGGUCCCCCACACUGGUACUGAGACACGGACCAGACUCCUACGGGAGGCAGGCAGUGAGGAAUAUUGGUCAAUGGGCGCAAGCCUGAACCAGCCAUCCCGCGUGCAGGAAGACGGCCCUAUGGGUUGUAAACUGCUUUUCCAGGGAGAGAAACUUACGCACGUGUUGCGUGACUGACGGUACCUGGGAAUAAGCAUCGGCUAACUCCGUG